GUAUACAGCCAUACUACCCUGAAUGUGCUUGAUCUCCUCUGACUUUGGAAGCUGACCAUAGUUGGGGCUGGUUAGUACUUGGAUGGGAGACAACAUUAUGAAAAUGUAGCCUACAUUUUACA
ensembl:rRNA 5S_rRNA 5S ribosomal RNA